GUUUCACUAUCUUUUUACUCCUCCUGGACUCCCGAAACCCUAAUUUCCCAAUUCACCCAAUCAAUCAAUGCCAGGCAAGCGUUCUCGCUUAACUCAGUCUCAGAGCUUCCGAGACAUUGGUUUAGGGAAUGACCGGCUGCCUCCAAGGGACGGUGGUUUCACUGCUGAUAACAUGGCCAGUCAGUUUAUCCAAAGGAUUAUCGCGGUCUCGCCUCCUCCUACGCUGCUGCCAGAGAAAGAGAAGGAUAUUGGAGGUGGUUUAAUGGAGACUAAGCAUUUUCUCGAGAGGAGUGAGCACUGCUGGAAGAGAUUGAGUAAAAAACAGGAUGUCUAUAUGUACGGGUCAUCCUAUUGUGGAUCUUACUAUCAAGAUUUUCCAAGCAAGAAUUAACGCUGAAGAAAACAACACACUAGUUCUUGGAUAUCUUUUACUCGAAGGUGACUUGGGUGCCUAGUCCUGAGUGCCGCAAUGCACAGAUUGCAAUUGACAAGGCAGGGCAGGAAGUCCAUGGACAAUCAAUUGGCACAAGGGCUUCAAGCAGCAGGAAGGAUACAAAUGGAAAUGCAGUUGCAGAACCACAGCUUGUAUAUAACUAGAUAAUGACGUAGCAAGCUAGUUUUAGUGGCGCACAGCCAUCAGGUUUUUGUGAAUGGCUUGCACCUGUGAAUGGAGUGGCCAUCCUUCGCAUUUACGCUGCCAUGACUGACAUAGCAUUAGGUGAGAUUUCAAGUGUUUGUUUUAGGAUCGAAAGCAUUUCUCUUUUAUAGGUUGAAUCUGCAAGCUGCAUUUUCUAAUUUUGAUUGGAAAAUGUUGUUUAUGAAUUUCUUAAUAUUUCAAGCUCAGAACUAUAUAGUCAUGCUUGUAUGCUGAAGUGAUUCUGUUACUGAGCUGGACAGUUUGUAUUUGCUUUCACUGAUUUCUAAUUUUCAAUAUGAGAUGGCAAUUAAUUA